GCACCAGCCUCGCAUAUAAAUAUCUGGAUAAUAAUUCAACAUAAACAGCAGAAAAUCCUACAGCUAGCUGGAUGUAUCUUGUUAGUAGUCAUCCAAUACCUGAGUUUUAAAAGGACAGUGGUAGCCUAGAAACUAUUGCGAUAACAAGACCAAGACAAAAAUGAGGACGAGUUAUCUCAAGAGUGCUACAUUUGGGUGCAGAUGCCCAAAGAAAUAUAAAACAGACCACGCAAUAAAAAGGAGUGGGAGAUACCCAGCGAGUUCACAAAUAUUUACUGACCGGAAGAUGAACGUCAAGAAAGAAAUAAUAAAAAAUGCUCUGAACUGGGACUCAAGAGACCCUUAAGUGUUCGGCGUCCGAAGCUUGAUUUUGGUCGAUUCAGAUCUGAGCACCACUUUCCAGUCUGAAGAGGGAGGUGGUGGAGCGGAUCCUUUCACUUGUGGUGGGUUAGAGCAAAUAAAGAAAUAAAAUUCCCAGCCUCUCACCCAGAAAGCUGUUCCGUAUUUGAGCGGAUAGAGCGGGUCGUUGGGGUUCGGGGCGUAGUACGGAAAGAAGACAGCACCGGUUGAAGAGAAUAAGACGAGAGUCACCACAAGGCGGCCUUGUAAGCAAAUUACAGUGUAAAAUCGUUACUUUAAAAGAGCGAGACCUAAGGCAGGCAGUUCUAGACGCUGUGAAUUCAGCUGGGCCGCCGGGGGAGGGAGGCUCUGCGUCCCUUCCCAGCCGGGAAGUCGUUCCCUAACUCGCGGCGGGGUGGCCCUCCCUGCAGCCACUCGGGCCGGGGCGCGACCCCUACCCGACCCCAGCCCCGGCCUCGCGGCUGCUCCCUGCUGUGAACGGCCAGAGAGGAGGGCGCCACCCGGCUGCGCCCGGGAGAGAGACCAGCGCCAAACUCACCGACUCCCCAAGCCCGGGGUGGCCGAGGCCCUGGGUCCGUUGCCUCGGGGAACCGCAAGCCACGGAGUGCCGAGGGGCGGCUCGUGCCCAGUGGGCCAGCUCACCCUGCCCGGCCGCCCCUGCAUCUGUGCAUCCACAAGCUGCUCUUGUGUGCCUUCCCUGUUCCUGGAGGACAGGAACAUCAUUAUCCCGGAAGACACAGGGACGCGGAGAAGAAUUGGAACCAAAAGGCCUUGUUCAGUUUCCCUCAGUUUACAACUAUUAGUUCAUAUUCCUUUUUGUCCCAUCAUAUUUCUUUUCACUGCUCAAGCCUACUGGGGAAAAUAAACACAGUUAAUUGUUUCUUCAGGUCCUUAUGCCUUUGGGUACAGAGGCCUCAACGGUGAACCUAAAUCAUGUAAAAUAAAAGGUAUAUUUCUUCCCUAUUAUUAUUUAGAGCAAGACUAACCCCCCCCCAAACUGUCUUGAAU
rnacentral:lncRNA from 1 species